UAAAGGUACACAAAUAAAAUAUAUUUAGAGGUCAGUAUAUGAAGAUGGGAAGCAACGUGAUUAGCACCGACUUGUGUUUAACUGAUCAUCCUGUCUCUCCUGGCAGCCCGUUUCGGAAAUUCUCAGUGCCAGCUGUACCUACCGUUUCAAUGAUGAAGAAACUGGUACAGAGCCCAGGGCAGACAACCAGUAACUGAUGGAGCCAGAAUUUGAACUGGGCAGCCUGGCUCUGGAAGGGGAGGUCUCACCUAGUCCCUUGUGAAUGUAGGUAAAGGGGUAAGCCAGGCAUCAAUCAAGGGCAAGUCUCAUAGGCAUUUUCAUUUAUUUUCCCCCGAAUAACGACUCCCCCCUCCUAGUAUCUGCAGGGGAGAUGCUCUUAGUUCUGCAAAUAAUUCACAUUGCUUAAGUUUUUGUGAUUCUGUUGUGUACAUUUGUGUAUUCUCUGUUGUUUUUAAUAGCUUGCGGUAGGUCUCAGUGAUCUUGAUCCUAGGAAUACAGAUAGGCUUUAGGGGAUCUGUGAACCCUCUGAAAAUGUCUGAUUUUAUACUUAUGGGAAAGGGGCAUUAUUCUGGGAGAGAGAAUCUGCAACUUACGUCUGAUUCUUAAAGGGUCACCUGUGGUGGGGAGCAAGGUUAGAAAUGCCCAUUCUCUUCCAAUAAUCUCAUGUUAUAAAUGAGGCAGCGGAGGGCCCGUGGAGAGGCGGAAUAACUUAAUCUUAACUACACAGCUUAUUCAAAGUAGAAAGGGAGCUAUAACUCGGGUCCCCUGGUCUCAUCUUUCCAUCACACGCCCAUAUCUCCCUUUGGAAUAAGUGGUGCCAGGUGAAUAAAUUAUGAGAUGCCAAAGACUCCCUGCUCUCCCUCGAGGCUGCCCCAGUGUAGUGAG
rnacentral:lncRNA from 1 species